AUUUUAUUUACUUUUCUCUAUAUUUUUAUUUUGAUGAAAAAGCUUUUGAAUUCAAAGUAAAUUUUUAGUUUAACCUUUAGAAAAAAUAAAUCUUUAGAAAGUGUUUAGUAUUAUACAGUUUCAUAUUAAAUUAAACGUUGUUAAUAGUAAACAUAAUUUUAGAUUUUGAGUUGAAAGUUUUUUAUAUUGCUAAAUAUGUAUUUUAAAUCUAAUAGAACGGCAAUUUCAAUUUUAAAAAUUGAAAUUGCAUUGUAAAUAUACCCUAACAUCGAAAUUGACAAAUGUUUUAUUUUU
rnacentral:misc_RNA from 1 species